rnacentral:rRNA from 1 species
AACGAACGCUGGCGGCAUGCCUAACUCAUGCAAGUCGAACGAGACCUUCGGGUCUAGUGGCGCACGGGUGCGUAACGCGUGGGAACCUGCCCUUAGGUUCGGAACAACUCCCCGAAAGGGGUGCUAAUACCGGAUAAUGUCUUCGGACCAAAGAUUUAUCGCCUUUGGAUGGGCCCGCGUUGGAUUAGCUAGUUGGUAGGGUAAAAGCCUACCAAGGCGACGAUCCAUAGCUGGUCUGAGAGGAUGAUCAGCCACACUGGGACUGAGACACGGCCCAGACUCCUACGGGAGGCAGCAGUGGGGAAUAUUGGACAAUGGGCGAAAGCCUGAUCCAGCAAUGCCGCGUGAGUGAUGAAGGCCUUAGGGUUGUAAAGCUCUUUUACCCGGGAUGAUAAUGACAGUACCGGGAGAAUAAGCUCCGGCUAACUCCGUG